rnacentral:rRNA from 1 species
GACGAACGCUGGCGGCGUGCUUAACACAUGCAAGUCGAACGAAGAGCGAUGGACGCUUGCUUCUAUCAAUCUUAGUGGCGAACGGGUGAGUAACGCGUAAUCAACCUGCCCUUCAGAGGGGGACAACAGUUGGAAACGACUGCUAAUACCGCAUACGAUCUAAUCUCGGCAUCGAGGAUAGAUGAAAGGUGGCCUCUACAUGUAAGCUAUCACUGAAGGAGGGGAUUGCGUCUGAUUAGCUAGUUGGAGGGGUAACGGCCCACCAAGGCGAUGAUCAGUAGCCGGUCUGAGAGGAUGAACGGCCACAUUGGGACUGAGACACGGCCCAGACUCCUACGGGAGGCAGCAGUGGGGAAUCUUCCGCAAUGGACGAAAGUCUGACGGAGCAACGCCGCGUGAGCGAUGACGGCCUUCGGGUUGUAAAGCUCUGUUAAUCGGGACGAAAGGCCUUCUUGCGAAUAGUGAGAAGGAUUGACGGUACCGGAAGAGAAAGCCACGGCUAACUACGUG